CUGGCGGCGUGGUUUAGGCAUGCAAGUCGAACGCGAAAGAUUUACUUCGGUAAAUUGAGUAGAGUGGCGAACGGGUGAGUAAUACGUACGAAUCUACCUUAAAGACAGGGAUAGUCCCGGGAAACUGGGUUUAAUACCUGAUGGUAUCCGGCUUUGCCGGAUUAAAGACGGCCUCUAUUUAUAAGCUGUUACUUUUAGAUGAGCGUGCGCUCCAUUAGUUAGUUGGUAAGGUAAGAGCUUACCAAGGCGAUGAUGGAUAGGCGUCCUUAACGGGUGGUCGCCCACACUGGGAUUGAGAUACGGCCCAGACUCCUACGGGAGGCAGCAGUCGAGAAUCGUCUACAAUGAACGCAAGUUUGAUAGUGCGACGCCGCGUGAAUGAAGAAGCAUUUCGGUGUGUAAAAUUCUUUUAUAUAAGAACAGUGCAUGUAUGGUAAAUAAUUAUACGUGAGAGAUAGUACUAUAUGAAUAAGCUCCGGCUAACUUCGUGCCAGCAGCCGCGGUAAUACGAAGGGAGCAAGCGUUGUCCGGAAUUACUAGGUGUAAAGGGUAAGUAGGCGGAAAUUUAAGUCUCCGGUUAAAUCUUCGGGCUCAACCCGAAAUCUGCCUGAGAUACUGGAUUUCUAGAGUAAAGCAGAUGAAGGCGGAAUUCCUGGAGUAGCGGUGGAAUGCGUAGAUAUCAGGAAGAACACCCAUAGCGAAGGCAGCUUUCAAUGCUAUUACUGACGCUCAAUUACGAAGGUGCGGGUAUCGAACAGGAUUAGAUACCCUGGUAGUCCGCACAGUAAACGAUAUGUACUUGAUAUUGGAUGUUGAAAAUUCAGUGUCGUAGCUAACGCGUUAAGUACAUCACCUGGGGACUAACGGCCGCAAGGUUAAAACUCAAAGGAAUUGACGGGGGCCCACACAAGCGGUGGAGCAUGUGGUUUAAUUCGAUGCAACGCGAAGAACCUUACCUGAACUUGACAUGCCGAGAAUCCUGUAGAAAUAUGGGAGUGCCUUUUUUGGAGCUCGGACACAGGUGCUGCAUGGCUGUCGUCAGCUCGUGUUGUGAAAUGUUGGGUUAAGUCCCGCAACGAGCGCAACCCCUAUCUUUAGUUGCUACCAUUAAGUUGAGGACUCUAAAGAGACUGCCAGAGUACAAAUCUGGAGGAAGGUGGGGACGACGUCAAGUCAUCAUGGUCCUUAUGUUCAGGGCUACACACGUGCUACAAUGGUUGGAACAAAAGGCAGCGAAGGGGCGACCCGGAGCUAAUCUCCAAACCCAAUCUUAGUCCGGAUUGCAGUCUGCAACUCGACUGCAUGAAGUUGGAAUCGCUAGUAAUCGUGAGUCAGCAUAUCACGGUGAACAUGUUCCUGGGCCUUGUACACACCGCCCGUCAAGUCAGCCGAAUCGAGUGCACCCGAAGAAGGUGAGUUAAUUAGACAGCUUUCGAAGGUGUGCUUGUAAGGGGGACUAAGUC
rnacentral:rRNA from 1 species